UGGGGAAUAUUGGACAAUGGGCGCAAGCCUGAUCCAGCCAUGCCGCGUGAGUGAUGAAGGCCCUAGGGUUGUAAAGCUCUUUCACCGGUGAAGAUAAAGACGGUAACCGGAGAAGAAGCCCCGGCUAACUUCGUGCCAGCAGCCGCGGUAAUACGAAGGGGGCUAGCGUUGUUCGGAUUUACUGGGCGUAAAGCGCACGUAGGCGGACUAUUAAGUCAGGGGUGAAAUCCCGGGGCUCAACCCCGGAACUGCCUUUGAUACUGGUAGUCUUGAGUUCGAGAGAGGUGAGUGGAAUUCCGAGUGUAGAGGUGAAAUUCGUAGAUAUUCGGAGGAACACCAGUGGCGAAGGCGGCUCACUGGCUCGAUACUGACGCUGAGGUGCGAAAGCGUGGGGAGCAAACAGG
rnacentral:rRNA from 1 species